UCUACUUUGGACAUUGAAGAAUUCUUGAGGGAAGAAGAUAUGCAUCCUUCAUGUUCAUCAGCCGGCACAGUUCAUCCCGGGUCCGAUGGGUACAAAGUUUCCAGCAAACAAAGUGAAGGAACAGGAAGUUAGGGCAUACAGAGAGCUGGAAGAGCAAAGGAUGCAUAACAUUCUAAAUGAAUACCUUGUCAUAUGUAUUAACCAAGGGGUAUGGGCAGAAAAACUUGUCAUUGAAAUGGAUGAUAUCAAGAAAGGUAUUGUAGAGCUUGUCACUCGUCAUGGGAUAAAAAAUCUUGU